AAAAAAAAAAAAAAAAGAAAAGAAACGAAAGUUGAAGUGGAGUGGUAGUGUUGAGAGAGUACAGAAAGAGAUUAACGCAACUAUCUUAUUGUCUGUGGACGGGAUUGAUCGACUCUAGGAGAACGGGGCAAGUGCGGAUACAGAGACACGGUCGCUUUCUCCAACCGGUCGAACACACGCUGCGAUGAGGUUAUUCAAUAGAGCACUGUGUCUCAGAUCAUAAUUAUAAUCGAGAACUUACGAGCCGUACCUACUGUCAACCUACCGAAGGGUACUCUGAAGGUACAGAUUUACACUGAAUUUUGACAAACUGCAGCCCGCUUGUUCCUACGCGUUAUAAAAAUUCACAGCAGUGUACUGCCAAUAAAUGGAGGCUCAAACGCGCUGGAUAAUCGACCACUAUCCACGUUAUUUUGGAUCGAUGCUUCAGCGCGCUUUGGUGACGUUCUUUAGCCCGAGAUUAUACCAUCCAUUCUCAUUGGAUAAAACAUGUAAAAUGAAAAUAAAAUAAAAGAACGUGUGUCCGUCUUUCCAAAUCAUUAUUUUUCUUUUCCGAAGAGAGUUUAUCAACGAAUGGAGACUUUUUCAGAAAAUACGAAACUUGUUCCAGUAUGAGAGGAAAUAUUUUUGUGUGUCUUUUUUAAGAAUUCUAAACCUGGACCAAUUGACGAAAUUCACGAGUGCUUCGCGUUCACAGUCGCCGUGCCUUUUGUUUUCUUUCAAUGUCAUUACAUUUCGAAUUAUUUUUUGUUGAAUGAUAUGUCUAUAGUAUUCUUAUAGAUAAACAUCAUUCCAAUGUCUUAUUUCAUGGUAGAUUUUAUCUCGAAAAUACUACAUUCAAUAAAAAUGAUCACUCAACACGAUUAUACAAUUACACGUUUUCUGUACACACAGGCUUGCAUUGCAUUUGUUUUCCUUUGAUGAAAAUUUAAUUU